CUUUCCCCUAGGCAUUGCAGGUGUGGCUUCAGUGUCACAUGUGCACCCGUAGGUGGCAGUGAGGAGACAGGUUAUGUCUAUACUCAAGUAUUCUGACCUGUGAACAUCUGAAUGCUUAGUAGCUUAACUCA